GACGAACGCUGGCGGCGUGCUUAACACAUGCAAGUCGAACGCUGAAGCUCAGCUUGCUGGGUGGAUGAGUGGCGAACGGGUGAGUAACACGUGAGUAACCUGCCCUCUUCUUUGGGAUAACGCCCGGAAACGGGUGCUAAUACUGGAUAUUCACUGAUUCUCGCAUGGGGGUUGGUGGAAAGGUUUUUUCUGGUGGGGGAUGGGCUCGCGGCCUAUCAGCUUGUUGGUGGGGUGAUGGCCUACCAAGGCUUUGACGGGUAGCCGGCCUGAGAGGGUGACCGGUCACAUUGGGACGGAGAUACGGCCCAGACUCCUACGGGAGGCAGCAGUGGGGAAUAUUGCACAAUGGGCGAAAGCCUGAUGCAGCGACGCCGCGUGAGGGAUGGAGGCCUUCGGGUUGUAAACCUCUUUCGCUCAUGGUCAAGCCGCAGCUUGGGGUUGUGGUGAGGGUAGUGGGUAAAGAAGCGCCGGCUAACUACGUG
rnacentral:rRNA from 1 species